UGCCAGCCGCCGCGGUAACACGGGGGGCGCAAGCGUUAUUCGGAAUUAUUGGGCGUAAAGGGCGCGCAGGCGGUCUUGUCAGUACAGGUGUGAAAGCCCGGGGCUCAACCCCGGAUGGUCACUUGAAACAGCAAGACUUGAGUACUGGAGAGGAAAGCGGAAUUCCUGGUGUAGAGGUGAAAUUCGUAGAUAUCAGGAGGAACACCGAUGGCGAAGGCAUCUCUCUGGGUCGAUAUUGACGCUGAUGCCGGAAGGCGUGUGCGUCGAACGGGGGUUGAUA
rnacentral:rRNA from 1 species